rnacentral:rRNA from 1 species
CACGUAGGGCGCGAGCGUUGUUCGGAAUUACUGGGCGUAAAGCGCACGUAGGCGGCUUUGCAAGUUAGAGGUGAAAGCCCGGGGCUCAACUCCGGAAUUGCCUUUAAAACUGCAUCGCUAGAAUUGUGGAGAGGUAAGUGGAAUUCCGAGUGUAGAGGUGAAAUUCGUAGAUAUUCGGAAGAACACCAGUGGCGAAGGCGACUUACUGGACACAUAUUGACGCUGAGGUGCGAAAGCGUGGGGAGCAAACAGG